AAAGGCUUAGUUGAGUUGAGUUGCCAACACUUAAAUGCUUUUUAAUUUACUUGUACACUAACUAUGUGAGACUUGUUCUCACAAGUCAUAUUCCAAAACUCCCUCUAAGUGCAAUUAUGUUUAGCUCAGCUUACAGAGGCUCACAAGCCCAGUUGUUACUUGCCAUUGCUUGGGAUGACUCAUCUAACUUGGGUCUGGCUCCUUUUGUGUCUGACCUCAAGGUCUAGCACACUGAGCUAACCCACAGAUCCAUUUGAGUCCGGCUUAUUGAGGCUCCACCCACCAUGCUUUUGAGUCCCAAAUUUACAGCCGUUAGGCCUUACUGCUCUUAUAAAAUGAUGAGAAUUACGGAUCUAGGAGUGUGAAUAUCAAACCGGAAGGGCUACAAGCUGAACUAUGCUUGUAAAUGGGCUCCCCAUCAUUACCAAAAUGGCCUAAGCCAUUUUUUUAUUUGGUUUGCCAACACUUAAUUGCCCUUUAAUUUAUUUGUACCCUGGCUAUGUGGGACUUGAUCCCUCAAGUCAUAUUCCAACAAUUUUCAAUCAUUCAAUUUUCAAUACUUCAUAUCAUGUCUAAAAUUCUCUAAUGCUUAAUCUUAGUUUCAUCAAACAACACACAAGUAAAAUCUAACUAGGUAUAGAAUGUUGAAAAAUGAAUUUUACUUGGAUCUCCAACAAGGUAAAAUUUGAAACUUUAAAAAUAGAUUUCAAAAUAGUCAAGCAACCUUCCAAACCUCUGUACCCCGUCCACGAAGAAGAUGAUAUGCUAGAAUAUAUUGCUAAGGGAAGCUCAUUCAAAUUAGCACUAAUGAAUGCCAAAUACUGUUACAUCAAGGCAGCUAUUAUUCAAUAUACGCGCGCGCGUGCGCGCGCACACACACACACACACUAUUCUAGUUGGGAUCGUACAAAUAAAUACUAAAAUUCAACAAUUCUAUAGGCAUGAAGAAUCUUACAGGUAAAGGGAUAGGCUCAGAGAAGGGUUCAUUAGUUGAAAGCAAUUCAUCAUAGGUUGUCGACCAGCUUAUGAUUGGAUCCUUUGCCAUUGUUUUUGAUUUUUGAGAUUUAUCUCCUAUCCACUUUCUUCUACUCUCAUGCCAAGCAAUUGCAGCAUGAUUGACAAAAACAGAAGUGGUCUUGCUCACUUCUUUUUCCAUGGGCUUAUUUCCUUUAUUGGUGGAUGUUGGACACUCUAAAGCUUGUUUCUAAUUGGAAUGGGAACCUCCAGCAUUGACUUCCAUCUCUAAACUGAAAGACCAUUCCCUCACACGGUAACAAUGCAGCUGUUGACAAGUGGUCCUUCUCACAAGUUCCCUCAAGGUUCUAUCAAAGGAAAUGACUAAUUGGAAUGUAACAAGGUUUCCAGAACAACUCCUGGACUUAAAAUAGAUCUUCUGUCUUAUUUAAGAUUGUUUAUGAUUGCGUUGGCCUAGACGGAAUCUAAAGAUGUUUCCUUUAAGGGGU
rnacentral:misc_RNA from 1 species